rnacentral:rRNA from 1 species
GGAGAGUUUGAUCCCGGCUCAGGAUUAACGCUGGCGGCGUGCCUUAUGCAUGCAAGUCGAACGGUCUUGAUUUAUCAAGAUAGUGGCAAACGGGUGAGUAACGCGUACGCAACCUACCCCUAAGUAAGGGAUAACUCUGAGAAAUUAGAGCUAAUACCGUAUGUAGUGGUGGAGGUAGUGCUUCAUCACUAAAGCCUUAGGGCGCUUAGGGAGGGGCUUGCGUCCGAUUAGCUAGUUGGUAGAGUAAUGGUUUACCAAGGCGAUGAUCGGUAGCUGGUUUGAGAGGACAUUCAGCCACACUGGGAUUGAGAUACGGCCCAGACUCCUACGGGAGGCAGCAGCAAGGAAUUUUGUGCAGUGGGCGAAAGCCUGACACAGCGACGCCGUGUGGGGGAUGAAGGCCUUCGGGUUGUAAACCCCUUUUCCCGGGGAAGAAUAAUGACGGUACUCGGGGAAUAAGUCUUGGCUAACUACGUGCCAGCAGCCGCGGUAAUACGUAGAAGGCGAACGUUAUUCGGAUUUACUGGGCGUAAAGCGGGUGUAGACGGCCCCUUAAGUCGGGUGUGAAAGCUCCUGACUCAAUCAGGAGAGGUCAUUCGAU